rnacentral:rRNA from 1 species
UAGUCAUACGCUAAUCUCAAAGAUUAAGCCAUGCACGUCUAAGUAUAGCAUUAUACAGUGAAACUGCGAAUGGCUCAUUAAAUCAGUUAUAGUUUAUUUGAUGUUAAACAUUUACUUGGAUAUCUGUAGUAAUUCUAGAGUCAAUACAUGCUAAAAAGCCACUAGCAAUAGUGGCUGCAUUUAUGACUUUGUAACCCAAUUCAUUGGUGAUACUACAUAACUUCGCUGAUUGAUCUCACGAUCAAUAUGUCAUUCAAGUUUCUGCCCUAUCAGCUUG